rnacentral:rRNA from 1 species
UACAGAGGUGGCAAGCGUUGUUCGGAUUUACUGGGCGUAAAGGGCGGGUAGGCGGCCACCGCAAGUCGACUGUGAAAUCUCCGGGCUUAACCCGGAAAGGUCAGCCGAUACUGCGGGGCUAGAGUGCAGAAGGGGCAACUGGAAUUCUCGGUGUAGCGGUGAAAUGCGUAGAUAUCGAGAGGAACACCUGCGGCGAAGGCGGGUUGCUGGGCUGACACUGACGCUGAACUGCGAAAGCUAGGGGAGCGAACGGG